rnacentral:lncRNA from 10 species
GACAAAGUUAGAUCACAAUCCACAGGAACAUGGAGGAGAGCUAUGCAAAUCAGCCUGAGGUUUUCAGAAUGUGUUCCUAGAUGAGAAAACGUCUCAUGAACUGAGUUCUUUACGACGGGUUUAACAGAUCUUAGGCUUUCAUUCACCAAAAUGCAUAAGAAUCACUUGGACAACUAUUUCUGAGCUGCAAGCUGGCAAUGUCUGAGGCCCCCUCAAAGGAUAAUGUGAGUUCCCCUGAACAAUCUGGGCAACAGAUGUCAACCAGGGAGAAGAUGCUGGCAGUAGGGUUCCCGGGAGUUGAACAUCUGCCUGACCUCCUACUGGGCUCUUCUAAUGCUGCAGCCUAAGGUGGCAGCUGUGGCUGUAGUAGAUGAAAUUCAGAACAUCUGGGGCAUUCUAUGGAGGAGAAAGAAACAAGCUUCUGGAAGCAGCAACAUAGAAGAACAUUAAUUCUCUCCCCACCCAGUCUCACCUACAGGAAUAGAACCUUUCCUGGCUGUGGUCAGAGGGCAAUGUGACUACUGAAAAUGCAUCAGUGGGAGAUAUGACAAUGCUG